AUGUCGGAUCCAAAGCUGCACUUUGAUCAUAAAGACCUGAAGAAAUCUAUCUACGUGAAGCAAAGUCCGGAGACUGAGUCAGUCCAGCCCGGCGACUCAGUGACUCUCCAGUGUUCACUCCUCUCCAAAAACAAAGAAAACGCGGAUCAGUGUCAAGGCGAACACAAUGUGUACUGGUUCAGGUCUGGAUCAGGAGAAUCCCAUCCAAGCAUCAUUUACACUCCCAGUGAGGAACAAAAGGAACGCAGUUGUGUCUUCAGUCUGUCCAAAACUAUACACAACUCCUCUGAUACCGGGACGUAUUACUGUGCUGUGGCUACAUGUGGACAGAUCCUGUUUGGAGAAGGAACUACAGUGGAGACAAGAACCGGCUUACGGUCUUUUGGUGAUUUACAGACUGGCGAUGUAUUUCUGCUUCUGCCGUCUGUGGUCUCGGCCAUUAGUGUGAUUGUUAUAGCCAUCCUUAUUCACGCCAUCAAGAGAAACAAGUGUGAUUAUUGCCAUAAUAAAGGUAAUAGACGUUACCUCACUGAAUAACAGAUUAUU